AGCUCCAAUAGCGUAUAUUAAAGUUGUUGCGGUUAAAAAGCUCGUAGUUGGAUUUCUGUGGAGGACGGCCGGUCCGCCUUUUGGGCGUGUAUCUGGUACGGCCUUUGCAUCCUCGUGUGGAACGUGGCGGUGCUUCAUUGCAUUGCGCGGAAUGCACGACUUUUACUUUGAGGAAAUUAGAGUGUUCACGGCAGGCCAUCGCCUUGAAUAUAUUAGCAUGGAAUAAUAAUAUAGGCUUAGCGCUAUUUUUGUUGGUUCUAGUGCGUUAAGAAUGGUUAAUAGGGAUAAUUGGGGUCAUUUGUAUUAUAGCGUCAGAGGUGGAAUUCUUAGAUUGCUAUACGACAAACUACUGCGAAAGCAUUUGACAAGGAUGUUUUCA
rnacentral:rRNA from 1 species